rnacentral:lncRNA from 1 species
GCAAAGCUGCGCAGCUAAGCAAGCUGGCUGACUGAUGUCCGCGGAGGUCCACGCGGGGAAAUCCUUCGAAUCCUAGGCGUCUACGUGGUCUGAGCCGCAGAUCCUGCGUCCUGCGUCUCAAAAAGUGACUCCGGAAAACUUUUCUGUCCCUGGCUGAAGUCGAUGGCCCCCUGCUCCUCCCCUGGUGAAGUUCUGGCUCCGCCCUUGGAGCCCAAACCUCUCCUGUCUUAUUUUGUAAUAUGACCUUUUACUUAAUCGCCUCUUCUAGGCAUUUUAAACUCCCAACUCAAAUGCCAGCUAAAAUGUAUUCAAAUAGAAUUUUUGUGGCUUCACGAGCUCGGGGUGAUGCCUUCAUUCUCAGAAUCCACAAGACUCUGGUGAAAUGUGGCUUCGACUCAAAGCAUGUCUCCUCUUCUAUACACAAAUCCCUGUUCAUCCAUCAGAGUCCAGUGUAAUAUCUUCCUCUAUCGGACCAUCCCUGGCCCCGAAACGCAAUGGGACUCACAGUCCUUGUCUCUGUCUGACCCCUCCCCUCCUUCCCUUGAGCCUUAAUAUCAGUUGCUGAGAUACCCGCA